UACGUAGGGUGCGAGCGUUAAUCGGAAUUACUGGGCGUAAAGCGUACGCAGGCGGUUGAUUAGGUGGGGUGUGACAUUUCCGAGCUUAACUCGGAAGGGCCGCUCCAAACCAGUCGACUGGAGAGGUGCAGAGGUCGGUGGAAUUGCCAGUGUAGCAGUGAAAUGCGUAGAGAUUGGCAGGAACACCAAGGGCGCAAGCAGCCGACUAGGCACUGUCUGACGCUGAGGUACGACAGCGUGGGGAGCGAACAGG
rnacentral:rRNA from 1 species